GACGAACGCUGGCGGCGUGCUUAACACAUGCAAGUCGAGCGGUAAGGCCCUUUCGGGGGUACACGAGCGGCGAACGGGUGAGUAACACGUGGGUGACCUGCCCUUAGCUCUGGGAUAAGCCUGGGAAACUAGGGUCUAAUACCGGAUAUGACUCCAUGACGCAUGUUGUGGGGUGGAAAGCCUUGUGCGGCUAGGGAUGGGGCCCGCGGCCUAUCAGCUUGUUGGUGGGGUGAUGGCCACCAAGGCGACGACGGGUAGCCGGCCUGAGAGGGCGACCGGCCACACUGGGACUGAGACACGGCCCAGACUCCUACGGGAGGC
rnacentral:rRNA from 1 species